CCUGGUAGUGGGGGACAACGUUUCGAAAGGAACGCUAAUACCGCAUACGUCCUACGGGAGAAAGCAGGGGACCUUCGGGCCUUGCGCUAUCAGAUGAGCCUAGGUCGGAUUAGCUAGUUGGUGAGGUAAUGGCUCACCAAGGCGACGAUCCGUAACUGGUCUGAGAGGAUGAUCAGUCACACUGGAACUGAGACACGGUCCAGACUCCUACGGGAGGCAGCAGUGGGGAAUAUUGGACAAUGGGCGAAAGCCUGAUCCAGCCAUGCCGCGUGUGUGAAGAAGGUCUUCGGAUUGUAAAGCACUUUAAGUUGGGAGGAAGGGUUGUACGCUAAUACCGUGCAAUUUUGACGUUACCGACAGAAUAAGCACCGGCUAACUCUGUGCCAGCAGCCGCGGUAAU
rnacentral:rRNA from 1 species